rnacentral:rRNA from 1 species
ACUGAAACAUCUAAGUAGCCGGAGGAAGAGAAAGAAACAUCGAUUCCGGGAGUAGCGGCGAGCGAAACCGGAAGAGCCCAAACCAGUGUGCGUGCAUGCUGGGGUUCGGACUGCGUAAGUGACUUCCAAGAGUAAUAGAAUGGUUUUGGGAAAGCCAGCCAGAGAGGGUGAAAGCCCCGUACAUGAAAUUCGAGGAAGCGCGGCAGGAUCCAGAGUACUACGAGACACGU